rnacentral:rRNA from 1 species
CCUACGGGAGGCAGCAGUGGGGAAUAUUGGGCAAUGGGCGCAAGCCUGACCCAGCAACGCCGCGUGAAGGAAGAAGGCUUUCGGGUUGUAAACUUCUUUUCUCAGGGACGAAGCAAGUGACGGUACCUGAUGAAUAAGCCACGGCUAACUACGUGCCAGCAGCCGCGGUAAUACGUAGGUGGCAAGCGUUAUCCGGAUUUACUGGGUGUAAAGGGCGUGUAGGCGGGAAAGCAAGUCAGAUGUGAAAACCAUGGGCUCAACCUGUGGCCUGCAUUUGAAACUGUUUUUCUUGAGUACUGGAGAGGCAGACGGAAUUCCUAGUGUAGCGGUGAAAUGCGUAGAUAUUAGGAGGAACACCAGUGGCGAAGGCGGUCUGCUGGACAGCAACUGACGCUGAGGCGCGAAAGUGUGGGUAUCAAACAGGAUUAGAUACCCCUGUAGUC